UCCUUCUUAUCGAAGGCAGUUUCUUAAGAGUGCCUCUCUUGCGAGAGUAGCAACAUAAGAUAAGGGUUGCGCUCGUUGCGGGACUUAACCCAACAUCUCACGACACGAGCUGACGACAACCAUGCAGCACCUCUGUAGACUCCCUUGCGGGUCGCCCGCUGUUUCCAGCAGACUACCAUCCACAGUUCAAGCCCAGGUAAGGUUUUUCGCGUUGCGUCGAAUUAAACCACAUGCUCCACCGCUUGUGCGGGCCCCCGUCAAUUCCUUUGAGUUUCAACCUUGCGGCCGUACUCCCCAGGCGGCUCAUUUAAUGCGUUAGCUACGACGCGGAAGGGGUCGAUACCUCCCACAUCUAAUGAGCAUCGUUUAGGGCUAGGACUAC
rnacentral:misc_RNA from 1 species